ensembl:snoRNA Gm26148 predicted gene, 26148
ACACUAGAGGCAUUGCAGGUGUGGCUGCUGGAUAUCAUGUGUGUCAGUGGGUGACAGAGAGAGAGAGUAG